UACGUAGGGGGCGAGCGUUGUCCGGAUUCAUUGGGCGUAAAGAGCUCGUAGGCGGCUUGGCAAGUCGGGUGUGAAAACUUCAGGCUCAACCUGGAGCGGCCACUCGAUACUGCCAUGGCUUGAGUCCGGUAGGGGACCACGGAAUUCCUGGUGUAGCGGUGAAAUGCGCAGAUAUCAGUAGGAACACCGGUGGCGAAGGCGGUGGUCUGGGCCGGAACUGACGCUGAGGAGCGAAAGCGUGGGGAGCGAACAGG
rnacentral:rRNA from 1 species